CUUGUCAGCCCUCGUGUCCCAGCUGGUUAUGCCAUUUGCUAAUGUGUAAUUGCAGGCAGUCAGGAGCCUCGGUGACCAGAGUGGGAGCCUGCACUCAGCCUGGCCCAGCACUGCUGGCAACCUGCCUGAAUUGGUGGCUGAACUGGGCUCCAGCCUCUUCCAAAAACCGUUGGGCCCUGUUGUCCUGAUGAUUCCUGCAGGCACGUGACAGAGAUACUCCAGACAGCCCACCAGGGUACAAAAUGGAAAAAUGGAAUGCAGUCUUGAGAAAAGCUUUUACACCACCAUGGAUCUUGAAUCUUCACUGCCCAGGAUAUAUCCUCAACAGAGUAUCAGUUGAACAAGCGUGUCAGAGGCUCCUGUGUGUGUGUCCCCUGAAUCUGCUGUUCAGCAGAAUCCCAGUUUCAGAAUGCAGAGGGUACAAAACUCAUCCACCAUUCUUUGUCGUGUUGUGAGCCUGCACAGUCU